GACGAACGCUGGCGGCGUGCUUAACACAUGCAAGUCGAACGGAAAGGCCCUGCUUUUGUGGGGUGCUCGAGUGGCGAACGGGUGAGUAACACGUGAGUAACCUGCCCUUGACUUUGGGAUAACUUCAGGAAACUGGGGCUAAUACCGGAUAGGAGCUCCUGCUGCAUGGUGGGGGUUGGAAAGUUUCGGCGGUUGGGGAUGGACUCGCGGCUUAUCAGCUUGUUGGUGGGGUAGUGGCUUACCAAGGCUUUGACGGGUAGCCGGCCUGGGAGGGUGACCGGCCACCAUGGGACUGAGAUACGGCCCAGACUCCUACGGGAGGCAGCAGUGGGGAAUAUUGCACAAUGGGCGGAAGCCUGAUGCAGCAACGCCGCGUGCGGGAUGACGGCCUUCGGGUUGUAAACCGCUUUCGCCUGUGACGAAGCGUGAGUGACGGUAAUGGGUAAAGAAGCACCGGCUAACUACGUG
rnacentral:rRNA from 1 species